UGUGUAUGUAUGUGUGUGUAUGUGUGUGUGUGUGUGUGUGUGUGUGUGUGUGUGUGUGUGUGUGUUGAACUGAAUAGAAUUGAAUUCAAUAAUAAAAUAUAACUGGUGUAUUGGUGUAUUUUCAAGAAGCUGUUUGGAAAUGCAUUUUGGGUUCUCAUAUAACAUAUGCUCUGCAUGUUAAAUCGAGUUCAGGUUUUAUGUAAUAAAGGCAAAACUAUAUCUGAGUUCUCUCUGACGUGAAGUCUUUCAAAAUAACACAUCAGCCACCUCAAUGCUACACACGGAAGUCAGUUCUUCUGAUAAAAAAAAUAAAAAAAAUCAUGUAUGUAUAGGUCUGAGGAAAAAUGCAAAUAUUAAUGUAUUUAUAGGUGUUUCAUUUCAACAAAGGCAUUUUUUGAACUCGCUGUGACGUCAUGAGCCCCGCCCCUUAAACGACUCGUCAGAGGAUGUGGGCGAACAUUAAAAACGCUUCAUAACACUGUAAAAUACAAUAUCAGAGCGGUAUUUUAAAUAGAAUAGCCUCUGAAAAACCACCACAAUUACAUUCUUCCGAGUCUCAGCGGCGUCCAUUUCGUUCAGAUCGCGCUUGACUCGUUUGACGAGUCCUACUACGGCGAAGGGCCAUACGCUCGUCUCAUGAAUAUUAAUUAGCUCAUGCCUCCGUUGCUGGAAUCAGAAAUAAAUUUGCCACUCGUUUUUUUCAUCAGAUAUAAGGUUUAUUCCGAGGUGUAAAGAGUAGCUGAAAACCAUAUUUGAGUAAUUCUUGCGUUGAAGGCAAGUCUGUUGAAUAUUAACUACGCACUGCUGACGUAACCGCCGCCUCUCCAAUGGAAAACACACGCGUCAUUCAUAUUAAUGAGCAAAGCCUUCGCCGUAGUAGACCCGAGCGCCCGAAUGGCGCAGUGCGCCUGAGCGAGAAAGAGAGGAAGUGGCGGCUGAAGCAGGUCCGCACCUUUUCCGGUAACACCGACAGCAGCACGACCGGGACCGAGAGAGCGACUAGAGAGGAACAGACGGGACAGAACCGAGCCGGGGGCGCGAGAGGGCGGCUGUUACAUGAGGGACGGAAGAGGGGGACUCGGGAUGAACGACUGACGGUGGGAGCGGAACGAACGAUCUGAAGCGCGUCGGAAGGGAAUGAACGCGAAACCCACGCGACCCGACACCGGGUUCACGAGUCUGAGACCCCGGAGAGGCCCGUACACACAUAACGAGCUCUGUUUCUGAACUCUGCAGGUGCUCUGUGAGUUCUGAAAGACAACGAAUAUAUGUGCUUUUCUAACUGACCAAAAAAAAAUAAAAACACUUUCCUCUUCCUGCAAUAAACUUAAU
rnacentral:lncRNA from 12 species